ACGCCGGGUAGCGUCAUUAAAUGUGCACAGGUGUUUUUAAUGUUUGUAAUGUGUUUGCUAUAAAUAUAAUGCCAAUGGAGAGGAACUUUACACUUCUGAUGAAGGACCAAACAGGUCAGAAACGCGUUAAGUGUUCUUACUCCAUGUGAUUAUUCUACGUGUACUUGGCGGUGAUUACGGUAACUACUCCCUGGAAGUGACCCCUCUAUAUCCGGAUUGAGAGAUCACUUUACCAGCCUAUCUUUCCAUCUGGGACUGGACCUGAGGGUGGUUGCUGUUCUUUGCCGAGUUGCAUGUCCUGUGGAUAUGUUUUUAUGCUGAUUAAAUUACGUUUGUUUGUAGUCACAUUUUUUCAGAUUUCCAACACUAUUCGGUAUACCAUCCUUGGUUGACGGCGACUCAUUGACUGCUAAGCUGUGUGCCUUAUGGGAAGUUAUGAGAUAUGCUGUUUGAAUUACAUCAGUUUGUAAGUGCAUUGAUUCAUUAAAAUCGUCCUUUAAAAGGGUUUUAUUGCACUAUCUUCUUUUUUGUAUGUGUCUAUCCCAAAACACAUAUUGUGUGGAGGGGGUCACGUUAUAUUUUAGGUUUCAAUCAAGGACGGUGAAAUAAAGAAAAAAACAAGUGUAUACUUCAAAGUCUUGCUCCUUUGGAAAUCUCUAGGGAAACUGAAUGCUACAGUAUGAACACACAAGCUUUUCAAUGUACCCGUGACACUAUCCUCAGAAAAGAAGCUGAAGACAGGGACCUAAAUACAGGGCUGUGGAGAGAUUGCGUGUGUCCCGGUAAAGUUGGAGGCGUGGCCUAAUCAUGGAUGUGUGACCAUGCCCCCUUUUAUAAAAACCCAUGAAUAAUAGUGUUUAUGUGCAGCAGAGGGGCAGAGCCAGGGAGGCAGAUCCAGGAGGGGUAGAUCCAGGAGUGCAUCAGCUCCUCUUCCUGGCAGUAUGGUGGCUAGUCCCGGGAUUGGUGGGAUCAGGGUCGGACUGUCCCACAGGGGUACCAGGGAAACCACCAGUAGGCCCCACUGCCUGAGUGCCCACUCCUUCCUCUAGCUAUCAGGUUCCAGACUGUGCACUUGUAUUAUACAUGGUAUAUAUGUUGCAUUACACUGCACUAGACUAUUGUGUAUUUCAAGCCUCUGUGGAUGCUGGCCACACCCUCUUUGUAGGCUGGCCACACCCUUACGUAUGGGCCCCUAACACUGCAUUCCCCCAGUGGGCCCUUCAUGCCCCAGUCCGACACUGGGUGGGAUCCAGGGAUUUCGAACAAAAAUUGUCCGGGAUUCAAUCCCGGGAUUGGAAGCUCGAAUCCCAGGGAUUUUGGGAUUGGCCAGCCCCUUUGUUCUUUCAAUGCCGUGCAUCUUCUCCUCACCCCUCUCGGCACCACUGCAAUAACAGACUUAAUAAUAGACUUUUUUUUUAUUUGGCUUUUUCAGUCAUGGCAUAUUUUACAACAGUGGUUCUCAACCUCAACCCUCAUUUGUUCCCAAUGGGUCAUGUUUUGAGGAUUUCUGUGUAUGGAAGGAGUCGAAAACCUGUUUCGCAGCAUUAUGCUCCGGAAUACAGGGGGUCAUUCUGACCUGAUCGUACGCUGCCGUUUUUCACAGGUCACUACUGCGCAUGUGUAUGCACCGCAAUGCGCAGGCGCAUCGUACUUGUACAAAGCGGAUCGUUGCUGGGCGAUGGUUUUAACGAAGAAUCCAUUCGCACAGCCGAUCGCAAGGAGAUUGACAGGAAGAAGGCAUUUAUGGGUGUCAACUGACCAUUUUCAGGGAGUGUUUGGAAAAACGCAGGCGUCACCAAGCGUUUGCAGAGCGGGUGUCUGCCGUCAAAUCCGGGAUCGGACAGGCUGAAGUGAUCGCAGUGGCUGAGUAAGUUCAGACCUACUCAGAAACUGCACAAACCGUUCUUGUACUGCUCGGCUGCACAAGCGUUCGCACACUUGCACAGCUAAAAUACGCUCCCCUGUGGGCGGCGACUAUGCGUUUGCAUGGCUGCAAAAAUUAGCUAGCGAGCGAUCAACUCGGAAUGACCCCCACAGUCUUGUUAUUUUCAUUCAAUUGUUUCACUCAUUGAUUAGUGGACAAUAAAAUAAAAUUCAUGAGAAAUAUAAUAAUAGUAGUUCUAUACUUACCUCUAGUGAUGUAGGAAUCU